GACGAACGCUGGCGGCAUGCCUAACACAUGCAAGUCGAACGGAACCUUCGGGUCUAGGGGCGCACGGCGGCGUAACGCGUGGGAACCUACACUUAGGUUCGGAAUCACUCCCCGAAGGGGAUCCUAAUACCAGUUAAUGUAAUACGAGCAAGGAGGUAUCGCCAUUGGGUGGGCGCGGGUUAGUUUAGGUGGUUGGUAGGGUAAAAGCCUAGCAAGGGGACGAUGCCUGGCUGGUGGGAGAGGAUGAUCUGCUACGCUGGGAAUGAGACACGGCCCAGACUCCGACGGGAGGGAGCAGUAGGUAAUAUUGGACGAGGGACGAAAGUCUGAUCCAGCAAUGUCGCGUGAGUGAUGAAUGCCUUAGGGUUGUAAAGCUCUUUUACCCGGGAUGAUAAUGACAGUACCGGGUGAAUAAGCUCCGGCUAACUCCGUG
rnacentral:rRNA from 1 species